rnacentral:lncRNA from 1 species
AUUAAAAUUGCUUUAGGAAAAUGAGAUAUUUGAAAUUAACUUAGAAAACAAGGGAUACCCACUUUGGUGAGAAUUAUUAAUUAUUUAAUGACUGAGUUCAAAAGCAGACAGAAAAAUGACAUCAUUUAGACAGUCAUACCGAAUUUCUCCUCCUUUAAUAAGUAUUCAGAACACACUACCUUUAAGGAUUCAAGAUAGCCCUGAGGUUGCCUUUCCACAAAGGAUUAACUUCUACUUCUUUGCCAUUUGGGAAAUUGAGAACCAACUGACAUAUUUUAUGGUGCAAUGGAACCCAUGAAAAAGGCCUUACAAUAUAAAUUGGACAUGUAUCUAAAUCAGUAGUAAGAUGCUACUGGGGCCUCUGCAUGUAUUCCCAAGAUGCAGAACCCCUGAGAGGCUCCUUCCAAUGGUGUGAAGUUCAGGAAAAGUAUCAACCAAAGGUGAACCUAUGGUACACGCAUCCAAACUGGGAUCUCAUCUGAGGACAAACCUGAAACAAGGCAGGACUUCCACAGGUGGCUGUCACUCCUGUGUCUCCUGGUACAGAAGCUGCCAGAGGGGUUGUCAGCAGUUCUAGUUAAGCACGUUACUUACACGUCCAUGGAAACAGACUCAGAUCUUCAACACGUAGCUUGGCAUCCAGGUAUUGGAAGAUGAGAGAGUAAGUGCAAGGGUUGUCUGCUUGGCAAAUAUCAGCUCAUAGACCUUGCCCACUCCUGUUGGUUCGUGUGGAACAAAGCAGCCUUCCAGCCUUAAUGCCACACCCCCUCAAUAGAGCUUCUUCAGGCAGAAGGGUGAAUAGAAACAACGAAAAACAAGACUUCUCUCAACAAAGCAGAAAGCAAGUAAGAUGUGAAAUUCAGAGGGUCCUUGCUGGCACUAUGACUAUAAGCUUUCUAUAGCUCUUUCUGCAGAUUCUCAAGUUUAAGAGAAUUCAAUUAUAUUUGAAGGUAGAGUCAAUGAAGAUGCACCAUUGAAGGAGACCAAUCUGUUGCAUUCAGGUGGCCAUGAAAUCGCAAGGCCUAAUUGAUAGCUAGAACAGUCGUGCCUUCCCGAAACUCUAUUUUUAAGUGAUCACCCACAAAAAG